CCCGGAUAGCUCAGUCGGUAGAGCAU
rnacentral:piRNA from 8 species